AGGAUUCCCCUAGUAACUGCGAGUGAAGCGGGAAAAGCUCAAAUUUAAAAUCUGGUAGUCUUUGGCUGCCCGAGUUGUAAUCUAGAGAAGCAUUAUCUGCUCUGGACUGUGUAUAAGUAUCCUGGAAUGGAUCAUCAUAGAGGGUGAGAAUCCCGUCUUUGACACAGACUCCCAGUGCUUUGUGAUGUGCUCUCAAAGAGUCGAGUUGUUUGGGAAUGCAGCUCUAAAUGGGUGGUAAAUUCCAUCUAAAGCUAAAUAUUGGCGAGAGACCGAUAGCGAACAAGUACCGUGAGGGAAAGAUGAAAAGAACUUUGGAAAGAGAGUUAAACAGUACGUGAAAUUGCUGAAAGGGAAACGCUUGAAGUCAGUCGCGUUGGCUGGGGAUCAACCUUGCUUUUUGCUUGGCUUACUUCCCAGUUGACGGGUCAGCAUCAGUUUUGACCGGUGGAUAAAGGCUAGGGGAAUGUGGCACCUCCGGGUGUGUUAUAGCCCUUGGUCAUAUACAUCGGKUGG
rnacentral:rRNA from 1 species